GCUCUUGCAACGAUGAAGAACGCAGCGAAAUGCGAUACGUAGUGUGAAUUGCAGAAUUCCGCGAAUCAUCGAGUCUUUGAACGCAAGUUGCGCCCGAGGCUUGUCCGAGGGCAUUUCCGCUAGAGCGUCACCGCGCCCCCACCACCGAUCCCGACCGUGACUCGGGGUCGAGUGAAGCUGGCCGUCCCGGCCGGGCGUCGCGCCGCGACGUCGAUCGGGUCGGCUGAAAUGGAGAGAGGGAAUCUGGCCGCCGCGGCGACGCGGUCCGCGAUCGGGUGGUCCGAGCGCUCGCGCUCGGAGUUAUUUCAAAGCGCGGCCGCGCCGCCCAGACGGCCCAGCCUCGAGCCAGCAGGCGUCGUCCCGGCCCCUCGCGGGUCGGGACGACGAGCGUCACGCAUCAGACCUCUAAUCGGAAAAGACCACGCGCUGAAUUUAAG
rnacentral:rRNA from 1 species